GACGAACGCUGGCGGCGUGCCUAAUACAUGCAAGUAGGACGCAGUUGCGAACGGGUGAGUAACGCGUAGGUAACUGCCUAUUAGAGGGGGAUAACUAUUGGAAAAGAUAGCUAAUACCGCAUACUCGUAGAUGGACCUGCGUUGUAUUAGCUAGUAGGUAGGGUAAUGGCCUACCAAGGCAAAGAUACAUAGCUGACCUGGGGAGGUGGUCGGCCACACGGGGGAUGGGACACGGCCCAGACCCCUACGGGAAGCAGCAAUAGGGGAUCUUCGGCAAUGGGGGGAACGCUGACCCGGCAACGGCGGGUGAGUGAAGAAAGUUUUCGGGUCGUAAAGCUUUUUUGUUUAGGAAGCGGUACUUAACCAGAAAGGGACGGCUAACUACGUGCCAGCAGCCGCGGUAAUUC
rnacentral:rRNA from 1 species